GAAGCUCAGUGGUAAAGCAUCUGCUUUGCAUGCAAAAGUUCCCAGGUUUAAUUCCCAGCAUCUUCA